rnacentral:snRNA from 1 species
GGAUGUGAGGGCAAUCUGGCUACAACAUCUGUCACCCCAUUGGUCACCUGAGUUGAUUUAGCUGAUCUGGCUGGUUAGGUAUUGUCCCUUUUCCUCUCCCACUGCUCCAUGUGUGGCCCUCCCCAAGAAGCAGUACACUAGGAGAAAGAAGGAAACCUUCCAAAACAGAGGACCAGUCUUUAGUCAAGGGUGCCCCAGUAGCUACACUCCCCAACCAGAACCUCCAAACAAGCUCUCAAGAAUUACAAAGAAUUAAAAGGUCUGUCUCUUAUCUUUAGAUAAAUACCACUUACCUGAUAAGAAAUGGU